GACGAACGCUGGCGGCGUGCUUAACACAUGCAAGUCGAACGGAAAGGCCCUGCUUUUGUGGGGUGCUCGAGUGGCGAACGGGUGAGUAACACGUGAGUAACCUGCCCUUGACUUUGGGAUAACUUCAGGAAACUGGGACUAAUACCGGAUAGGAGCUCCUGCUGCAUGGUGGGGGUUGGAAAGUUUCGGCGGUUGGGGAUGGACUCGCGGCUUAUCAGCUUGUUGGUGGGGUAGUGGCUUACCAAGGCUUUGACGGGUAGCCGGCCUGAGAGGGUGACCGGCCACAUUGGGACUGAGAUACGGCCCAGACUCCUACGGGAGGCAGCAGUGGGGAAUAUUGCACAAUGGGCGGAAGCCUGAUGCAGCAACGCCGCGUGCGGGAUGACGGCCUUCGGGUUGUAAACCGCUUUCGCCUGUGACGAAGCGUGAGUGACGGUAAUGGGUAAAGAAGCACCGGCUAACUACGUGCCAGCAGCCGCGGUGAUACGUAGGGUGCGAGCGUUGUCCGGAUUUAUUGGGCGUAAAGGGCUCGUAGGUGGUUGAUCGCGUCGGAAGUGUAAUCUUGGGGCUUAACCCUGAGCGUGCUUUCGAUACGGGUUGACUUGAGGAAGGUAGGGGAGAAUGGAAUUCCUGGUGGAGCGGUGGAAUGCGCAGAUAUCAGGAGGAACACCAGUGGCGAAGGCGGUUCUCUGGGCCUUUCCUGACGCUGAGGAGCGAAAGCGUGGGGAGCGAACAGGCUUAGAUACCCUGGUAGUCCACGCUGUAAACGGUGGGUACUAGGUGUGGGGUCCAUUCCACGGGUUCCGUGCCGUAGCUAACGCUUUAAGUACCCCGCCUGGGGAGUACGGCCGCAAGGCUAAAACUCAAAGGAAUUGACGGGGCCCCGCACAAGCGGCGGAGCAUGCGGAUUAAUUCGAUGCAACGCGUAGAACCUUACCUGGGUUUGACAUGGAUCGGGAGUGCUCAGAGAUGGGUGUGCCUCUUUUGGGGUCGGUUCACAGGUGGUGCAUGCCUGUCGUCAGCUCGUGUCGUGAGAUGUUGGGUUAAGUCCCGCAACGAGCGCAACCCUUGUUCACUGUUGCCAGCACGUUAUGGUGGGGACUCAGUGGAGACCGCCGGGGUCAACUCGGAGGAAGGUGGGGAUGACGUCAAGUCAUCAUGCCCCUUAUGUCCAGGGCUUCACGCAUGCUACAAUGGCUGGUACAGAGAGUGGCGAGCCUGUGAGGGUGAGCGAAUCUCGGAAAGCCGGUCUCAGUUCGGAUUGGGGUCUGCAACUCGACCUCAUGAAGUCGGAGUCGCUAGUAAUCGCAGAUCAGCAACGCUGCGGUGAAUACGUUCCCGGG
rnacentral:rRNA from 1 species